rnacentral:misc_RNA from 1 species
UCCGGUUUGUCACCGGCAGUCUCCUAUGAGUCCCCACCAUCACGUGCUGGCAACAUAGGACGAGGGUUGCGCUCGUUGCGGGACUUAACCCAACAUCUCACGACACGAGCUGACGACAACCAUGCACCACCUGUGCACGGCCCUUACGGACCCACCAUCUCUGGAGGAUUUCCGUGUAUGUCAAGCCUAGGUAAGGUUCUUCGCGUUGCGUCGAAUUAAACCACAUGCUCCACCGCUUGUGCGGGCCCCCGUCAAUUCCUUUGAGUUUCAGCCUUGCGGCCGUACUCCCCAGGCGGGGCACUUAAUGCGUUAGCUACGGCGCGGAAAACGUGGAAUGUCCCCCACACCUAGUGCCCAACGUUUACGGCAUGGACUAC